UACAAACAUGUUAUGUCUACGGAGUUGGC
rnacentral:sRNA from 1 species